rnacentral:rRNA from 1 species
AGGGACGUUGGCAACGACGACCCAGUGCCGGAAAGUUCGUCAAACUUGGUCAUUUAGAGGAAGUAAAAGUCGUAACAAGGUUUCUCCUCCCAGCCUCAUCUGCUGAAUCCUUACACAGCGACUCUAAACAACUGUGCAGCCCGCUUCGUUGCGGGCGAUACCAUCCAACUGCCUGGGAAUUCUCUCUGGAGUAUCACCAGCAGCCUGAACCUCCGGGUCAGGUCCACAGAUCAAGUGAUGGUGGCUGUCCGAGUUACAGCUAAGAUAUGAUCGGUCCUAACUGUCACCAGUUCAGGAGUCAACGUUCCGUAGGUGAACCUGCGGAAGGAUCAUUAACGAUUUUGACCCUUCGGGGUCGAUCUCCAACCCUUUGUCUACCUUCCUUGUUGCUUUGGCGGGCCGUUGUUCGCUCUCACGAGCGACACCGCUGGCUUCACGGCUAGUGAGCGCCCGCCAGAGUCCAUCAAAACUCUGAUUCAAACCUACAGUCUGAGUAUAUAUUUUAAUAAAUUAAAACUUUCAACAACGGAUCUCUUGGUUCUGGCAUCGAUGAAGAACGCAGCGAAAUGCGAUAAGUAAUGUGAAUUGCAGAAUUCAGUGAAUCAUCGAAUCUUUGAACGCACAUUGCGCCCCUUGGUAUUCCGAGGGGCAUGCCUGUUCGAGCGUCAUUUCACCACUCAAGCUCAGCUUGGUAUUGGGUCAUCGUCUGGUCAAACAGGCGUACCUGAAAAUCAGUGGCGGUGCCCAUCCGGCUUCAAGCAUAGUAACUUUUAUCUUGCUUUGGAAGUUCUGGAGGUUACACCUGCCAACAACCCCAAUUUUUUCAAUGAUUGACCUCGGAUCAGGUAGGAAUACCCGCUGAACUUAAGCAUAUCAAUAAGCGGAGGAAAAGAAACCAACAGGGAUUGCCUCAGUAACGGCGAGUGAAGCGGCAACAGCUCAAAUUUGAAAUCUGGCUCUUUCAGAGUCCGAGUUGUAAUUUGUAGAGGAUGCUUCGGAAUGGUCCCAGUCUAAGUUCCUUGGAACAGGACGUCGCAGAGGGUGAGAAUCCCGUAUGUGACUGGGUAACCGGCCCAUGUGAAGCUCCUUAGACGAGUCGAGUUGUUUGGGAAUGCAGCUCUAAAUGGGUGGUAAAUUUCAUCUAAAGCUAAAUAUUGGCCAGAGACCGAUAGCGCACAAGUAGAGUGAUCGAAAGAUGAAAAGCACUUUGGAAAGAGAGUUAAAAAGUACGUGAAAUUGUUGAAAGGGAAGCGUUUGCAACCAGACUUGCCUGCAGUUGAUCAACCGGUGUUCUCACCGGUGCACUCUUGUGCAGACAGGCCAGCAUCAGUUUGGGUGGUUGGAUAAAGGCCGGAGGAAUGUAGCUCCUCUCGGGGAGAAUUUAUAGCCUCCGGCGUCAUGCAGCCUGCCCGGGCUGAGGAACGCGCUUUUAGCUAGGA